GACGAACCACACGAACGUUAUUCGGAAUACUGGGCGUAAAGCGUGCGCAGGCGGUGAUGUAAGACAGGUGUGAAAUCCCCGGGCUUAACCUGGGAACUGCAUUGGUGACUGGCAGGCUUUGAGGUGUGGCAGAGGGGGGUGGAAUUCCGCGUGUAGCAGUGAAAUGCGUAGAGAUGCGGAGGAACACCCGAUGGCGAAGGCAGCCCCCCUGGGCUAACACUGACGCUCAGGCACGAAAGCGUGGGGAGCAAACAGG
rnacentral:rRNA from 1 species